UACACACCGCCCGUCACACCAUGGGAGCGGGUUCUGCCAGAAGUAGUUAGCCUAACCGCAAGGAGGGCGAUUACCACGGCAGGGUCAAUGACUGGGGUG
rnacentral:rRNA from 1 species